CGUUGACUUGCCACUAGUGUUUCCAUAGGUUCAAUAAUAUCCACAGCAGUUCGUUUUUUAUGCUUGUAAACCGGUCAAACUAUGCUACGGUGCAAUCGUGUGGAAACCAUAUGCAGCUGUAUGUAGCGCGCAGUCAGCGAGUAAAGCAUGCUUUCUAGAAGUUGGAAUUAAUCAGCGGAAAAUUAUGGGACCAAGGAUUCCUGUCUAACCAAACGGCUCUGCGCUGCCUGCAUACGCUCAACCAACAGCAAACGGCUGCCAAAAGAAUAGAAAAUCAAAUAAAAAGCGGCAAACUUUUUCAAGCAAAAAACAUCGUAAACGGAAAACUUUGCUUGCAUUUUUUGUGUUGCAGCCUGCAAGCAGAUCGGCUGAAAGAUUUUCCAGAAGCUGGACUUAUGAAAAAACAUCUAAGCCGUUUGCACUCAAAACGAUAUAAGAGUACGCAGUGGAUAGAAAGUUUUCCCCUACCGGCUAUUUAUCACAAAAGGAAAGUGAACGUAGAACCAACAAACACCACGUGCUUGAACCCGAAUCUAAAAAGGCUGCUUAGUGCGAACCAGAAUAAAUUGGUCCUCGAGUUUCCGUUCAUUAGCGGUACUCAAAAAAAGCUCCGUGUUGCUAUUUGGAUCCCUCAAUAUGAACUCUCAAGCACGUGCAGCCAUUCGACGAUUUUCUUGUCUCGAAACUAGUCACUAAAACUGACAAAAACAAACACUUGAGCACAGACAUUCGCACGAUUCGAACAGUGCUCACCGAUCUCCGUCUGUCAU